AACGCGAAGAACCUUACCUACCCUUGACAUGUCCGGAACCCUGCUGAGAGGUGGGGGUGCCCGAAAGGGAAUCGGAACACAGGUGCUGCAUGGCUGUCGUCAGCUCGUGUCGUGAGAUGUUGGGUUAAGUCCCGCAACGAGCGCAACCCUUGUCCCUAGUUGCUACGCAAGGGCACUCUAAUGAGACUGCCGGUGACAAACCGGAGGAAGGUGGGGAUGACGUCAAGUCCUCAUGGCCCUUAUGGGUAGGGCUUCACACGUCAUACAAUGGUCGGUACAGAGGGUUGCCAAGCCGCGAGGUGGAGCCAAUCCCACAAAGCCGAUCGUAGUCCGGAUUGUUCUCUGCAACUCGAGAGCAUGAAGUAGGAAUCGCUAGUAAUCGCAGGUCAGCAUACUGCGGUGAAUACGUUCCCGGGUCUUGUACACACGC
rnacentral:rRNA from 1 species